rnacentral:rRNA from 1 species
CGUGUAGGCUGACCGGAAAGUCGGGCGUGAAAUCCCUGAGCUCAACUCAGGAACUGCACUCGAAACUCCCGGUCUAGAGUGGUGGAGAGGGAAGUGGAAUUCCUGGUGUAGAGGUGAAAUUCGUAGAUAUCAGGAGGAACACCAGUGGCGAAGGCGGCUUCCUGGACACCAACUGACGCUGAGACGCGAAAGCGUGGGGAGCAAACAGGAUUAGAUACCCUGGUAGUCCACGCUGUAAACGAUGGGCACUAGGUGUCGCGGGUUUUGACCCCCGCGGUGCCGUAGCAAACGCGUUAAGUGCCCCGCCUGGGGAGUACGGCCGCAAGGCUAAA